AUAUAUAUAGAACUAGGCUGGAAUACUAUUAAUAGCACCAAUGACUUGGUGCUAUUAAGUUUUCUACCUUUAAAUUAAAAGAUGUGUGGUUAGGAUGAUGUGGGCCCUUUAGGGUUGAAUGGGUGGUUGGUUGAAUAGUAUAAUCGAACGGAUAAAAAUGAUAAAAGAGGUAAAUAUAAUGGCAGAAAAUUUGAUAGCACCAAAUACUUUGUGCUAUCGAUAGUAUCCCAGCCGGACUAUAUAUAUAUAUAGUGUAGAGUUACUAUCCUAUCGAAAGUAUAAAGUAGUUGGUGCUUUCGAUUUUUUAGCCCUUGGAUCAAAUAUUCUACGGUUGGGAUAAUAGCGGUCCCCUUAGAGUUGAAUAGUCCUCCUAUGGUUGAGUAGUCCCCAUUAGUUAAUAAUAUUAAUCCAAUGGUUAGAAAUGAUCAAUAGAGUUGAUUUAAGAGCUAAAAAAUCGGAAGCAUCAACUACUUUAUAUUUUCGAUAACAUAGUAGCUAUAUAUAUAUAUAUAUAUAUAUAUAUAUAUA
rnacentral:lncRNA from 1 species